ACGAACGCUGGCGGCGUGCUUAACACAUGCAAGUCGAACGGAAAGGCCUUUCGGAGGUACUCGAGUGGCGAACGGGUGAGUAACACGUGGGUGAUCUGCCCUGCACUCUGGGAUAAGCCUGGGAAACUGGGUCUAAUACCGGAUAGGACCGCACUUUAGUGUGUGUGGUGGAAAGUUUUUUCGGUGUAGGAUGAGCCCGCGGCCUAUCAGCUUGUUGGUGGGGUAAUGGCCUACCAAGGCGGCGACGGGUAGCCGGACUGAGAGGUUGGUCGGCCACAUUGGGACUGGGAUUACGGCCAGAACCCUACGGGGAGCAAGAGGGGGGAAUAUUGCACAAUGGGCGGAAGCCUGGUGCAGGCGAGGCGGGUUGGGGAUGACCGGCCUUCGGUUGUAAACUCCUUUCGCCAGGGACGAAGCGUUUUGUGACGGUACCUGGAGAAGAAGCACCGGCUAACUACGUG
rnacentral:rRNA from 1 species